UACGUAGGGGGCAAGCGUUGUCCGGAAUUAUUGGGCGUAAAGGGUGCGUAGGCGGCCCUGCAAGUUGGAUGUGAAAUCCCCAUGCUUAACAUGGGAAUUGCAUUCAAAACUGUGGGGCUUGAGUGUGGAAGAGGUAAGUGGAAUUCCCAGUGUAGCGGUGAAAUGCGUAGAUAUUGGGAGGAACACCAGUGGCGAAGGCGACUUACUGGGCCACAACUGACGCUGAGGCACGAAAGCGUGGGGAGCAAACAGG
rnacentral:rRNA from 1 species